UACGGAGGGUGCAAGCGUUAUCCGGAUUUACUGGGUUUAAAGGGUGCGUAGGUGUGUUGGUAAGUCAGUGGUGAAAUACUUUCGCUUAACGAAGGAACUGCCAUUGAUACUAUCAAUCUUGAAUGUAGUGGAGGUAGGCGGAAUGCGUCAUGUAGCGGUGAAAUGCUUAGAUAUGACGCAGAACACCAAUUGCGAAGGCAGCUUGCUACACUACUAUUGACACUGAGGCACGAAAGCGUGGGGAUCAAACAGG
rnacentral:rRNA from 1 species